rnacentral:ncRNA from 1 species
UAAAAAAAUAGCGCCAGACCUUUUUAAAAAAGGAGACGAGGAAAAAGAGUUAUCGAAAAUUCGGCGGAUGCUCUUUGGGUUAUCACAACCUGAAUAAUAUACAAAAAUUAUAAGAGAUUAUAAAACAAAAAUA